rnacentral:rRNA from 1 species
UACGUAGGCAGCGAGCGUUGUUCGGAGUUACUGGGCGUAAAGGGUGUGUAGGCGGUUCUUUAAGUUUGGUGUGAAAUCUCCCGGCUCAACCGGGAGGGUGCGCCGAAUACUGAGGGACUAGAGUACGGGAGAAGAAAGUGGAAUUCCUGGUGUAGCGGUGAAAUGCGUAGAUAUCAGGAGGAACACCGGUGGUGUAGACGGCUUUCUGGACCGUAACUGACGCUGAGACACGAAAGCGUGGGUAGCAAACAGG